AAAUUUAGAAACUUAGAAGUAUAUCUUAUAUAUGGGCACUUGGGAUAUAUGGAGUUAGUAGUGCAACCGACUAAUUU
rnacentral:ncRNA from 1 species